CCAAACCCUCCCCAAACCUCGUGCUCUUCUCAGAUGAUUUCUCUUCCGUUUCGAUCUUGAGCGAAGGAAUUUGAUUGUUUGGAAGCGUGAAGAUACGAUAAUGUCGCUCCAGUCUUACGAUCCUUCCGUUAUUGGAAUGGGCGAUGGUGAUCGACAUAUCAUCUGAUUUCUUCCUUAAAAUCCCACUUUCUUCUCUUCAUUGGUCUCAGAUCCUUUUUAUUUUUGCUUUUUUUUCCGAUUUAAAUUUGAAUGGGAGAAUUAAUGAUUCCAAAUCCAUUGUUUUUUUCUCUGCAAGGCAGAUGAUGAAUCAUCACAACACAUGCACUACCAUCUGAUCUCCCUACUCCACGCAGUAGCGAUAUGAUUUUGUGGAAAGAUAUUGUUUUUCGUGUGAUUUUAGAGGAAAUGAAGAAUUUGAUAUGCAGUCGGUGACGAAGAUUUAAUGAGAUGCUGAGUUUCCUGUGAUUAACUCACCAAAAUUAUCACCAUCUUUCGGCUGAGAUUACACCUAUCUGUUCCCAACUUUCUUUUUUUUUUUAACUUAGAAUUGAUUGUGUGAUGUUGAAUGCCAUUAGGUAUCUGAUGCUCAGUUCAAUGGUCGUGGCUGGGCAUCUCGUUAUGAUGGCAAAAAGGGAAGAGCAGGUCUUGCGACACUGAACAUUUAGAAGAAAGAUUUCUACAGUUUGAAAGUGAUGUACUACGCACAUUGCAUCAAAUCAGAGUGAUUGGAUAAACUGUGGCCGGGGCUUGGAUAUAAUUGUUGAACCAAAUGUUUAGAUCAUAUGAAUCAGGGAAGCUGCAGUGGACUGUAAAUUUUUGGGGUUUAUGUUAUGCAUAGGACACCGAACACACAAGUGGCAUCACCUUCAUUCAAAUGCAGAAGAACGAUCACAUUAUUACCUAUCCAGAUUCUUCUUUUGUUGGGAAUUCAUCGUUGACUCCGUUGGAUUUUUGCGGAGGUUUGUCAACAUGUUGGAAGGUCAAUAUCAUAUCUGGUAGCACUGCAAUCUUCAUUCUGAAGGCUAAUGUUUGUCAACAUGGGAAUAAUUAUUUCUGUUGACACCGGUCAAUGGAUCUCCACAAGUUAAUUGACAUUAAUUCCGAUGGUGCUGACAGUGUCCGUGCCUCGUGAGAAAACCAACUGCCACAGCCCUGUGGGUUGUGACAAGAGUGCACAGAGAGUUAUCAAAGACAUGUUUCAAUCCAUCAGUUGGAUCUAUACUUCGAAUAAACAUUACAUGGGAUAAGAGCGUACCAAGAAAGCUUCAACUGUUAGGUUAUCUGUCAAUAUCCUCAAGUCAGUCAACCAUGAUGUCUGAUCUUGAUGAGUCCCAAAGUUUGAAUAGCUUUCAUCUCAAAACAACACUCUUCAAGAACCCUAACAUAAUUAUGAAAUGACUCAGAGCAUCUUCUUGAAUGUCAAGAGUUUUAAAUACGAGAAUAUUGUAGCUAUCAGACAAUCAUAAUUAAUACGAAUAAGAGAAAGAUGAGACCUGUGGGCACCAAAAAGACAGCGAUCGUCAGUUGCUGGGAAACUCUCCUGGAAAUUGACAUGAUGAUGCAGCUGAGCAGAACAAGACGAAGGAAGACUUUAAAUUCUAGGUUGCUUCCUUAUACUUUUCAAUAGAAAGACCAAGGAAGACUGUCGAUUGCAAACAAAAGCAAGUCGCUCAUCUACUAAUGCGACAGCAAGUUUGCAUCAUCUCUGAAUCUUAGGUGAUGCCACUUGUUUGUUCUUCUGAAUUGACUCAUCACAGUGCACCCCUGAGGCAGCAGAGUUAUCAGACCACCUCGCUAAGUCCUCUGGUUCUCGGUCGUGAGAUUGAUGAGCAAAAGAUAAAAAAAAAAAAAAUGUUGCUGCCAUUGGCUGAGGUGACCGACCGUUGCAUCACAGUGAUUCCCAUCUUUGGGAUGCCUGGCAUAGGGAAGACGACUCUCUCUCAACUAGUCCGGAAUGAUGAGUCUGUGAAGAACCAUUUUGAGCUUAGACUGGGUUUAUAUGUCUCAGGAUUUUGAUAUGAUGAGGAUUAUGAAGACCAUCAUCGAAUCCAUCGAUGGUUUUCAGUGUGAUUUUGUCAUCAUCGACAAUCUUCAGAAAGAACUUAGAAAGAAGUUGAGUGGGAAGAGAUACCUGCUUGUUCUGGACGAUGUUUGGCAUGUGAGCCCACAGGACUGGGAAAGGAUAAAGAACUUCUUGUACUCCGGUGCUCAAGCAAGUAACAAAGUGCAGUGUCAGUGUCUGAUAAUUUUUUGAUAAUUUGAUCUCUAAUAAAGUGGAAGUCGAUGGUAAUGUAUUUUGUAUGUAAGUGGAACAUUGAAUUGGCGCAUAGGUAGAUAACAUUGACAUUAUCAUAGUAUAUUAUAGGAGUGGAUU